rnacentral:rRNA from 1 species
GACAGAGGAUGCAAGCGUUAUCCGGAAUGAUUGGGCGUAAAGCGUCUGUAGGUGGCUUUUCAAGUCCGCCGUCAAAUCCCAGGGCUCAACCCUGGACAGGCGGUGGAAACUGCCAAGCUGGAGUACGGUAGGGGCAGAGGGAAUUUCCGGUGGAGCGGUGAAAUGCGUAGAGAUCGGAAAGAACACCAACGGCGAAAGCACUCUGCUGGGCCGACACUGACACUGAGGAGCGAAAGCCAGGGGAGCAAACGGG